rnacentral:rRNA from 1 species
CAGCCGCCGCGGUAAUACGUAGGUGGCAAGCGUUGUCCGGAAUUAUUGGGCGUAAAGCGCGCGCAGGCGGUUUCUUAAGUCUGAUGUGAAAGCCCCCGGCUUAACCGGGGAGGGUCAUUGGAAACUGGGAGACUUAGAGUGCAGAAGAGGAGAGUGGAAUUCCAUGUGUAGCGGUGAAAUGCGUAGAUAUAUGGAGGAACACCAGUGGCGAAGGCGACUCUCUGGUCUGUAACUGACGCUGAGGCGCGAAAGCGUGGGGAGCAAACAGGAUUAGAGACCCCUGUAGUCCCUGUCUCUUAUA